AUUCCCUCGUUCUCCAGGUGGGUGCCUUGACUGCUUCUUUUCUUUCUUCAUCCUCGUUCUCCAGGUGGACGCCUGACUUCUUUUUAACUUCUUCAUCCUCAUUCUCCAGGUGGACGCCUGACUUCUUUUUAACUUCUUCAUCCUCAUUCUCCAGGUGGACGCCUGACUUCUUUAAUUCUUAUCCUCGUUCUCCAGGUGGACGCCUGACUUCUUUAAUUCUUAUCCUCAUUCUCCAGGUGGACGCCUGACUUCUUUAAUUCUUCAUCCUCAUUCUCCAGGUGGACGCCUGACUUCUUUAAUUCUUCAUCCUCAUUCUCCAGGUGGACGCCUGACUUCUUCUUUUCUUCAUCCUCAUUCUCCAGGUGGACGCCUGACUUCUUCUUUUCUCAUCCUCAUUCUCCAGGUGGACGCCUGACUUCUUCUUUUCUCAUCCUCAUUCUCUAGGUGGACGCCUGACUUCUUUAAUUCUCA
rnacentral:lncRNA from 1 species